rnacentral:rRNA from 1 species
ACAACGGAGAGUUUGAUCCUGGCUCAGGAUUAACGCUAGCGGCAGGCCUAAUACAUGCAAGUCGAACGGUAACAGGUGAUAGCAAUAUCAUGCUGACGAGUGGCGCACGGGUGCGUAACACGUAUGCAACUUACCCUUUACUGG